rnacentral:piRNA from 1 species
UGCUCAGAGUCUUUGAAGAAUCCAUAUUCAG